UACGUAGGUGGCAAGCGUUAUCCGGAAUACUGGGCGUAAAGCGCACGCAGGCGGUCUUUUUAAGUUUGACGUGAAAGCUCCCGGCUUAACUGGGAGAGGUCGUUGAAUACUGGAAGACUUGAGGAAAUGAGAGGGGUGUAGAAUUCCUGGUGUAGUGGUGGAAUGCGUAGAUAUCAGGAGGAAUACCAGUGGCGAAAGCGGCACCCUAGCAUUUUUCUGACGCUCAUGUGCGAAAGCGUGGGGAGCGAACGGG
rnacentral:rRNA from 1 species